UAAAAUUAUUGCUUUUAUUAAACAUUAUAAGAAAUACAACGUUGUUGUCUUUAGACAGUCAGAUAAAUGGUUUCUACUGGAUGAAGGUCUACGAGUUAAAAUGCUGUAUUUUUAUUAGUUUAUUCUAGAGAAAAGGACAAGGGUGAAAGGAAAUUUAAUUUAUUUACCAUUCUUUAAUAAACAGCAAAACAUGUCACAAUCAAAUUAUAUAUUUUUCAGACCAAGCAUGAGCAUCUGUUAGUAGAAAAAGAAAACAACUCGUACAAAAUUCUUCAAAAUCUUCAGCAGAUUUUUAGUUUUCCUUCCUACUAUGAAAAGCAGCAGACUUUGGCAGUUAGAAGACAAAGUGAACAAUAAAUAUGAUGUUUCACACAAGUUUUGGUAGGUUUGUGCUCUGUCAAGUUAUCUAAGCGAGACGUGCAUCAUCUCUUGUUUUUAAGAUAUUUGGAAUAACAGAGAGUUGUAUAAGAAGCCAAAUAGGUGAUAAAGUCUUAAUAAAGACGUGAACUCAAGGUAGAUUAUUUAAAUUAUCCGUUGACAUUUUAAUACAAGUCACUGAAUGACAAUGAUACAGGCAAUAUGACAACAAACCUGAGAAAUGCUGUUUUUAACAGAAAAGCUACAUAAAAGCGUCUCAGCCUGAGAUGGUUUAAAUCCACCGUGUAAACAUCAAAAUACACCCGAAAUAACUGCAAACAAUAAAAAACAAUUCAUGAAGGAAAAUGAAAUAAAAUAAGGUGCUCUGGUUUGAGAACAUUGGCGCGGUGUGUAGCUGUCACAGAGCACCGUCCUCAAUGUUCAGUGUCAACUAUCAUUUUAUUAUUUAACCUCUGACAACAUUUUCAUUUAGUUUUAACUACAGUCAAAUAAAUAAUUUAAAAAAUAUAAUUGGUACUUUCUUUCCCGGGUGAACAGCAGAAAUAAAUACGCAAUUUGGAUGGAGACCACAACCUAGAAUGACCAUAAGAGCAGAUGAACUCUUCUUUCAGUGUGAGUUUGUGAUUUGUUGUGCAUGCAGUAAUGUGGCCUCUGUUGUAAACACAACACAGUGCAAAGUGACUCAUUCUAUCAGAGUCUGGUUACUGACAGUCAUUAUAUAUACAGACAAAGCAAAAAAA